GAGGCUGUGACUAAGAGAUAGAGUGCUUGCCUAGUAUGCAUGAGGCACUGGGUUCGAUCCUCAGCACCACA
rnacentral:tRNA from 1 species